rnacentral:rRNA from 1 species
CUGCUCAGAUUGAACGCUGGCGGCAGGCCUAACACAUGCAAGUCGAACGGUAGCACAGAGAGCUUGCUCUCGGGUGACGAGUGGCGGACGGGUGAGUAAUGUCUGGGAAACUGCCCGAUGGAGGGGGAUAACUACUGGAAACGGUAGCUAAUACCGCAUAACGUCUUCGGACCAAAGUGGGGGACCUUCGGGCCUCACACCAUCGGAUGUGCCCAGAUGGGAUUAGCUAGUAGGUGGGGUAAUGGCUCACCUAGGCGACGAUCCCUAGCUGGUCUGAGAGGAUGACCAGCCACACUGGAACUGAGACACGGUCCAGACUCCUACGGGAGGCAGCAGUGGGGAAUAUUGCACAAUGGGCGCAAGCCUGAUGCAGCCAUGCCGCGUGUAUGAAGAAGGCCUUCGGGUUGUAAAGUACUUUCAGCGGGGAGGAAGGCGAUG